rnacentral:lncRNA from 1 species
UCUUGGGUCCGGACAGAACCCCUUCCAGAUGCGAGCAAGAAGCUGCAGCAACAGGCAGUUGCGAGCCCAGCUGGCUGUCUGCACCAAGCUGUAGUGGGGCGCCCGCGAACCUCCACGGAAAAUCUCAGUGAAAAAGGACAGCUAUCAAUACAGGAUGACCUUGAGGAAGGAAGGAAAGAAUCAAGACAUUCUCAGAUGAAACUAGGAUUCAGUGCGAGCAGGCUGACCCUAAAAGAGUGACUUAAAAGCUUACCUGCAAUCCUAACUACCCAGCAAGCCGAGACAGGAAGACUGCAGGUUUGACAACACAGCGUGGGCCACUUAGUGAGAACUUGUCUGGAAAAUAAAAAGCCAGCUGUGGUGUCGCACAUCUGUCAUCCCAUCGCUUCGAGUUCGAGGCCAGCCUUGGCUAUGUAGUGAGUGCAAGGCCGGCCUGCACUAUAUAGUGAGACCUUGUCUUGGAAAAAAAUAAACCUAA